rnacentral:rRNA from 1 species
GAUGAACGCUGGCGGCGUGCCUAAUACAUGCAAGUCGAGCGAACGGACGAGAAGCUUGCUUCUCUGAUGUUAGCGGCGGACGGGUGAGUAACACGUGGAUAACCUACCUAUAAGACUGGGAUAACUUCGGGAAACCGUAGCUAAUACCGGAUAAUAUUUUGAACCGCAUGGUUCAAAAGUGAAAGACGGUCUUGCUGUCACUUAUAGAUGGAUCCGCGCUGCAUUAGCUAGUUGGUAAGGUAACGGCUUACCAAGGCAACGAUGCAUAGCCGACCUGAGAGGGUGAUCGGCCACACUGGAACUGAGACACGGUCCAGACUCCUACGGGAGGCAGCAGUAGGGAAUCUUCCGCCAAGGGCGAAAGCCUGACGGAGCAGCGCCGCGUGAGUGAUGAAGGUCUUCGGAUCGUAAAACUCUGUUAUUAGGGAAGAACAUAUGUGUAAGUAACUGUGCACAUCUUGACGGUACCUAAUCAGAGAGCCACGGCUAACUACGUG